ACGAAUUUUGCCUCCCCCAUGGCCUCAUCUCAAUGGGGGAGGGCUUAUCUACAACACCAAGAAGCCAUGGAGGAAGGAGGAUAAGGGGCAGCGCUCCCCCAUGAAGCCCGGCCGACGCAAGAGGAGCCCCCUGCGCCGCCGACGUCCGCCGGCACCGCCCUGCACCUCACGUGCCGCCCCUUCUCAAUCCUCUCCGCCAUAAUGCCGCAUUCACCAACACCUCCAUGAUCAUCUCCUCCAUAGAUACAGCGGUCCACUCUCCCACAAACCUCUGUAAUCCCCUAUGUAAACAUGGUGUUUGACGUUAUAAAUUAUUUGCAGAUGAACUAUUGCAUCUAUGCCAUGUUUGUGUAGUUCCCUUUUUUCAUAUGAUUGAUUGUUUAAUCUCCAUG
rnacentral:lncRNA from 1 species